rnacentral:rRNA from 1 species
CCUACGGGAGGCAGCAGUGAGGAAUUUUCCGCAAUGGGCGAAAGCCUGACGGAGCAAUGCCGCGUGGAGGAGGAAGGCCUGUGGGUCGUAAACUCCUUUUCUCAGAGAAGAAGUUCUGACGGUAUCUGAGGAAUAAGCAUCGGCUAACUCUGUGCCAGCAGCCGCGGUAAUACAGGGGAUGCAAGCGUUAUCCGGAAUUAUUGGGCGUAAAGCGUCCUGAGGUGGCUUACCCAGUCGACUGUGAAAGCUCAAGGCUUAACCUUGAAACGGCAGUCGAAACUUGUAAGCUUGAGUACGGUAGGGGCAGAGGGAAUUCCCGGAGGAGAGGUGAAAUUCGUAGAUAUCGGGAGGAAGGCCAAAGGCGAAAGCACUCUGCUGGGCCGAUUACUGACACUGACAGACGAAAGCUAGGGGAGCGAAAGGGAUUAGAUACCCCUGUAGUCCUAGCCGUAAACGAUGGAUACUAAGUGUUGCGCGACUCAAAACGUGCAGUGCUGCAGCUAACGCGGUAAGUAUCCCGCCUGGGGAGUAUGCCGCAGGGUGAACUCAAAGGAAUUGACGG